rnacentral:rRNA from 1 species
AUCCUGAGUAGGGCGGGACACGUGCAAUCCCGUCUGAAUCUGCCGGGCCCAUCCGGCAAGGCUGAAUACUCCCGGGAGACCGAUAGCGAACCAGUACCGUGAGGGAAAGGUGAAAAGCACUCCGAACAGGAGGUUGAAAUAGAACCUGAAACCGUGCGCCUACAAGCGGUCGGAGCCUUCUAUUGAAGGUGACGGCGUGCCUUUUGCAUAAUGAACCUGCGAGUUUCCGUCGCCGGCGAGGUUAAGGGGGACGACCCCCGGAGCCGCAGCGAAGGCGAGUCUGAACAGGGCGUUCAGUCGGCGGCGGAAGACGCGAAACCGAGUGAUCUACCCUUGUCCAGGAUGAAGUCCGGGUAACGCCGGAUGGAGGUCCGAACCGAUAGGCGUUGAAAAGCCUCCGGAUGAGGUGAGGGUAGGAGUGAAAGGCCAAUCAAACUCGGAGAUAGCUCGUACUCCCCGAAAUGCAUUUAGGUGCAGCCCCGGGCGUUCGCGGCGCGAGGUAGAGCGACUGAUAGGAUGCGGGGGCUUCGCCGCCUGCCAAGUCCUGACAAACUCCGAAUGCGCGCCGCCCACAGCCCGGGAGUGAGGGCGCGGGUGCUAAGGUCCGCGCCCGAGAGGAGAAGAAUCCUGACCGCCGUCCAAGGCCCCGAAGUGGAGGCUCAGUUAGUUUAACGGGGUCCGGCCGCAGAGACAGCUAGGACGUUGGCUUGGAAGCAGCCAUUCGUUUGAAGAGUGCGUAACAGCUCACUAGUCGAGGGGCCGGGCAUGGAUAAUAAUCGGGUAUAAGCCUCCCGCCGAAGACGCGGGACC